GAUGAACGCUGGCGGCGUGCCUAACACAUGCAAGUCGAACGGAAAGACGCUGCGCUUGCUGCGCUGUCGUUAGCCGCACGCGGGUGUAAAACAUGAGUAACCUGCCCCUGAAUUUGGGAUAAAUUUUGGAAACACGGGCGAAAAUCGGGUAGGAUCUCUUGAUCCACGGUGUGGAUUGGAAAAUUUCGGCGGUAUGGGCUAGACUAGCAGCUUAUCAGCCUCUUGGGGUGGUAGUGGCUUACCAGGGGUUUGACGGGUAGCCGGCAUGAGAGGGUGAACGGGCACAUUGGUACUGCGAUACGGCGCAGACUGCUACGGGAGGCAGCAGUGGGGAAUAUUACACAGUGGGCGGGAGCCAGAGGCAGCAACGCCGCGUGCGGGAUGACGGCCUACGGGUUGUAAACCACUUUCGCCUGUGACGAGGCGGGAGUGACGGUAAUGGGUAAAGAAGCACCGGCUAACUACGUG
rnacentral:rRNA from 1 species